AGAGGACCCAGUGAGAAGGCAGCUGUCUACAAGCCAGAAAGAGGAGCCUCUUCCUGAAACCAACCCUGCUGGCAGCUUGAUCUUGGACUUCCAGCCUCCAGAACUGGAUUAUCUUUAAAGUAAGAAGGAAGCUUUUCUUCCCUGCAAUGAUGAAUCCUUGGAUGCCUCAGAUUCAUGGAUCAGAUAGUUGGGAGUCGCCUCAAAAGACCCAGUCCUCAAAAAGUGACCCUGAUAUAAUGGCCCAGAUGAUAAACUUCUCUGUUUCCAGGAAGAAGUCUGCUUUUGCAAGUGAGUAAUAUAUUUCUUUUUCCUUUCCUUUGCUUUCCUUUACUUCUUUCCUUCCCUUCCCUUUUCCCCAAACAUAGAAACUAUCUAAUGUAAUAUCUACUGUGAGCUUGCUCUACCCUUUAUAUGCUUUACCUUAUUUUACCAUCACAACAUCCUAUGAUAUCCACACAGUUAUUGUCCCCCUUUUACAGAUGUGCAAACUGAGGCUGAAAGAGAUGAAAUGACAUAUCCCACCCCUCACAAUUGUAAAUGACAGAGAUGGGAUUUGAACCAAAGCAGCCUGACUCCAGAAAGUAUGCUAAGUCCAGCUUCUGCAUUCACUUAGCUGUAUAGCCUCUCCCAAGUUUUAUUCUAUAAGUCAUCUGCAAAAUUUUCAAAUUAAGGGAGUGUACAUACUAAAUACAUGUUUCUUUUUAUUCCCCACACCUCUUAUCUGAAAAUGCUUGAUAAAUAACAUUGAUUGAUUCAUUCCUCCAAGUUUGAGAUCCUUGGAAGAAUGACCUUACAUAAAUUCUGGUGGCUGUUUUUAUUAAUGCUGCAAGGGUAGUAAUCGCACAGGCUGGAAGAGAGGAGGACAGAAUUGAAAACAGAAAUAAUUCAUUCUAUUUCUUAGAUUAGGUGCCUAGAGGUGGCAUGGUACCUUAGCAGUCUGAAGUUUGGGGCCUCUGGGUGCUUGCACCUUGCUGCUGCGGAUUUAAUCAUCUUGUCUGACGUAUGUUUCUGUAGAGUGACAAGUACUCCCUGUCCCACUUAUGAACAGAUUUACUCUGAUGGGCUUGGGGGGAAAAGCCCUUUUCUCAGCCAGCAUGAUUCAGCUGGUCUGUGGGUCUGCUUACCUGUAAACACAUUCACAAGCAAGCUAGCUCUCAGCCCACAGAAUUUUGAUUUAGUUAAGUUU